UACGGGGGGGGCAAGCGUUGUUCGGAAUUACUGGGCGUAAAGGGCGCGUAGGCGGCCUUCUAAGUCGGACGUGAAAUCCCUCGGCUUAACCGAGGAACUGCGUCCGAUACUGAAAGGCUUGAAUCCGGGAGAGGGAUGUGGAAUUCCAGGUGUAGCGGUGAAAUGCGUAGAUAUCUGGAGGAACACCGGUGGCGAAGGCGGCAUCCUGGACCGGUAUUGACGCUGAGGCGCGAAAGCCAGGGGAGCGAACGGG
rnacentral:rRNA from 1 species